rnacentral:rRNA from 1 species
UGACGGAGGGGGCUAGCGUUGUUCGGAAUUACUGGGCGUAAAGAGCUUGUAGGCGGUUUGUCGCGUCUGCCGUGAAAAUCCGGGGCUCAACCCCGGACUUGCGGUGGGUACGGGCAGACUAGAGUGUGGUAGGGGAGACUGGAAUUCCUGGUGUAGCGGUGAAAUGCGCAGAUAUCAGGAGGAACACCGAUGGCGAAGGCAGGUCUCUGGGCCACUACUGACGCUGAGAAGCGAAAGCGUGGGGAGCGAACAGG